rnacentral:rRNA from 1 species
UACGAAGGGGGCUAGCGUUGUUCGGAAUCACUGGGCGUAAAGCGCACGUAGGCGGGUCGUUAAGUCAGGGGUGAAAUCCCGAGGCUCAACCUCGGAACUGCCUUUGAUACUGGCGACCUUUGAGUCCGGGAGAGGUGAGUGGAACUCCGAGUGUAGAGGUGAAAUUCGUAGAUAUUGGGAAGAACACCGGUGGCGAAGGCGGCUCUCUGGACCGAUACUGACGCUGAGGCGCGAAAGCGUGGGGAGCAAACAGG